CCUCCUCCUUAUAAGAUUCUAAAGGUUGUUUUAUUAUGCAGCUCAAUCAGGACCAUAAGUGUGAAAUGGAUUCCCGCCAUAUAUCCUCUCUUCCUGCCUUCUCUCUGGCUUUAUCGUUAUAUUAACUUCACCACCUCCUUUCAUAGGCCCACGACUUGAUGAUUUGUUGAUAUUACAUAUCUUGCGUAUUUUAUCCAAAUUCCAAUAACUCUUACUGAAAUUGAACUUUCGGGUUCAAUCUUUUAUCUGGAUUGUUCAUGCUCCAGUUUCUGGUAUGUGCCUUGCUAUUAUUGUUUUAGAAUAAAUCCCAAUAUGAUGGUUUCAAGUAUUUUAUUGCGCCAAAAUGUUCAUGAUCAGUUCGAAUGAUAUUUAUUAACUGAUAAGUAUAGGCUGCAUGUAAAGUGAAACUUCAGAAAAAGUUGUCAUUUAUUUUACAUGUGAAAGCAGUUAGGGUCCCAAAGAGAUCAAGGAGGUCCCAUGAGGUAUCCUUGAAAGAUUCUUUCGACGUGGGUGAUGCACUGGCAAAGUUUAGCCAGUAGCAUAACUUGGAUAGAUUGCAGCAAAAACAACUUUUCAACAAGCAUAUGGCACAGGUUAAUUGCACAUGUCCUAUUGAUAGUUAGAUGUAUGCAUCUGAUCUGGCAGCAACAACCGUAAUGAGUAUAAUUUUUGGACUUGCUUGCCCUUGGGAAUUUGCACAUGUUGUGUUCUGGCCCUCCAAAACAGUGUACUGUGUACAAUCUUGCAUAUGAGGAUUGGGAGGCCCCAUUUAAUUUCAAAAGAAGUAAAAUACACAAUGAUUGCAACAAUGAAAAUAUUCAUGUUUAGCAUAGAUUGACUAGAUUCUCUGCAACACACUGUUAUUCGAAGUAUAUGAAGGCUCUGGAGUUAGGUAGGGGCAGGCAAGGGCACGGGGUGUGGCUGAUUGGAGUCAAUUUUUGGUGGGUCCGACACAAGAGCCCCGUGAGACAGUCCGACACUCUUGGAGACUUUUUUUUUUUUUUUUUUUUUUGACGACGUGGAAUAUCAGCACUCGUAUCUCUCA